GCCCAACUCAACGACCGAGUUAAAAGUUA
rnacentral:piRNA from 1 species